rnacentral:rRNA from 1 species
UAGCAGCCGCGGUAAUACGUAGGGUGCAAGCGUUAAUCGGAAUUACUGGGCGUAAAGCGUGUGUAGGCGGUUCGGAAAGAAAGAUGUGAAAUCCCAGGGCUCAACCUUGGAACUGCAUUUUUAACUGCCGAGCUAGAGUAUGUCAGAGGGGGGUAGAAUUCCACGUGUAGCAGUGAAAUGCGUAGAUAUGUGGAGGAAUACCGAUGGCGAAGGCAGCCCCCUGGGAUAAUACUGACGCUCAGACACGAAAGCGUGGGGAGCAAACAGGAUUAGAUACCCUGGUAGUCCACGCCCUAAACGAUGUCAACUAGCUGUUGGGGCCGUUAGGCCUUAGUAGCGCAGCUAACGCGUGAAGUGACC